UGGGUAGGAUCUUACUUGAGUCUUCAGUGACUG
rnacentral:piRNA from 1 species